rnacentral:rRNA from 1 species
ACGGGAGGCAGCAGUGGGGAAUAUUGCACAAUGGGCGCAAGCCUGAUGCAGCGAUGCCGCGUGAGGGAAGAAGGUUUUCGGAUUGUAAACCUCUGUCAACAGGGACGAAAAUGACGGUACCUGACUAAGAAGCACCGGCUAAAUACGUGCCAGCAGCCGCGGUAAUACGUAUGGUGCAAGCGUUAUCCGGAUUUACUGGGUGUAAAGGGAGCGCAGGCGGUACGGCAAGUCUGAUGUGAAAGCCCGGGGCUCAACCCCGGUACUGCAUUGGAAACUGUCGAACUAGAGUGUCGGAGGGGUAAGUGGAAUUCCUAGUGUAGCGGUGAAAUGCGUAGAUAUUAGGAGGAACACCAGUGGCGAAGGCGGCUUACUGGACGAUCACUGACGCUGAGGCUCGAAAGCGUGGGGAGCAAACAGGAUUAGAUACCCUGGUA